rnacentral:lncRNA from 1 species
CCGGCGCCUGCUCUCCUGUGCUCCUCUUUGCAAGUGAUUCUGCCCGCUGGCGAGGUUCUGCCUUGGCCCCCUCAGGCUUGCUUCAGUCUCUCAGUCUCCAUUUGCUGCUGCCGCUCCUUCUUCUACCCAGCUGCGGCCGUUACUCUUCUCGGUGAGGUUCAGUGUAGCAUACAAAAGGGCGCACAUGUGUAGAAAUGUUUUAUGGCCGUGUGUGUAUGUGUGUGUGUGCCUAAGCUUACUUAAGCAUUUUUAGCCCCGCCCCAUCCUUGGCCUUCAGCCUUCGAUGUCAGUCGCAAUCUCAGUGCCAGUCAGCGGCCAAAAUCGCGUCGAUAAAGUUCUGCCUCACUCCCGCACUUAACCCUGUGCCUGCCCCUGGCUGGAUCUUGGAGUGAUUAGCAGCAGUUCUAUCCACU